rnacentral:rRNA from 1 species
GUGGGGAAUCUUGCGCAAUGGGCGAAAGCCUGACGCAGCCAUGCCGCGUGAAUGAUGAAGGUCUUAGGAUUGUAAAAUUCUUUCACCGGGGACGAUAAUGACGGUACCCGGAGAAGAAGCUCCGGCUAACUUCGUGCCAGCAGCCGCGGUAAUACGAAGGGGGCUAGCGUUGCUCGGAAUUACUGGGCGUAAGGGCGCGUAGGCGGACAGCUUAGUCAGAGGUGAAAGCCCAGGGCUCAACCUUGGAAUUGCCUUUGAUACUGGCUGUCUUGAGUUUGGGAGAGGUGAGUGGAACUCCGAGUGUAGAGGUGAAAUUCGUAGAUAUUCGGAAGAACACCAGUGGCGAAGGCGACUCACUGGCCCAAUACUGACGCUGAGGCGCGAAAGCGUGGGGAGCAAACAGGAUUAGAAACCCUUGUAGUCC